CCUACGGGUGGCAGCAGUGAGGAAUAUUGGUCAAUGGGCGCGAGCCUGAACCAGCCAAGUAGCGUGAGGGAUGACGGCCCUACGGGUUGUAAACCUCUUUUAUAGGGGAGUAACGGGCGUCACGCGUAGCGUUUUGAGUGUACCCGAUGAAUAAGCACCGGCUAACUCCGUUCCAGCAGCCGCGGUAAUACGGAGGGUCCGGGCGUUAUCCGGAUUUAUUGGGUUUAAAGGGGGCGCAGGCGGCAGAUCAAGUCAGCGGUAAAAUUGAGGGGCUCAACCUCGUCGUGCCGUGGAAACUGGUUUGCUUGAGUGAGCGGGAAGUAGGCGGAAUUCGUGGUGUAGCGGUGAAAUGCAUAGAUAUCACGAAGAACGCCGAUUGCGAAGGCAGCAUACUGCCGCGGAACUGACGCUCAUGCACGAAAGUGCGGGUAUCGAACAGGAUUAGAUACCCGAGUAGUC
rnacentral:rRNA from 1 species